CUCUGCUGCUGGGACUGGGGGUGCUCGGCUGUCCUGGACUGUGGGCUCAGCAGGGAGGGCACCUGGAGAGUGACACCCACAUCCCCCGGCAUUGCCACCAAGGUUAUUCCAGAGGCAGGUGAAACACACUGCCUCCCAGACUUGUCAGGAAACCCCUCCUGCUCCUGCUCACCAGUGGGACCUGUAGAGCGUCAUCUCAAAAGAAGGAGACCUGAUGGGAACCAGAAAUGAGGGGCUGGUCCUGAGACAGGGGACAGGGACAGGAGGGUUUUGGGGUAACCUGUCCCCAGCGUGAGCUGCAGUUGCUGCCCCAACGUCAGGGAAGCAAGCAAUGAUCAAAGGAACUUUUCCAUCCCUGGUCUCUGCCUGGACUCCCCUCUCGCUGUAAAAGCUCUCUCAGAAGUUUAAAAAUAAAAUUCUCUUCCGGA